rnacentral:lncRNA from 10 species
UGACCUUAGAGCUUUUGUUCUCCUCCAAGGUGACCUCUGGACUUUGUCUUCCGCAGGGGACUGCUGAUGUGUGUUUCCUUGGGAUUUUGAGGCAUCCCAGAACAUAGUGAAAAAAAUGCAAAGAUUUUCCUUGCAUGUAAACCUUGUCAUUCAGGACAAGAAGCAGGAAGAUCUACCGGACAGAUGGAGAAGAGUGAUGUAAAAGAGGAUGCAUGGAAAGAGGCCAUUUUGGAGUCAGAUGGAUCUGAUUUUGAAUUCCAACUUUAUUACCUACCAACUCUGUGAACUGUAAGCAAGUUUCCUCAUUUGUAAAUGGGGGUAAAUUACCCUUCUCAGCAUGAUUGUGCAUCUUAAAUGGAAAAAACAGCAUGAAAGUAUUUAUCCCAGUACCUCAUACAUUAAAGAUACUUAGAUAAAGUCUCUUCACUUCUUCUUUCUUUAUCUUCCCUUUGACACAAGUCUACCUAGGCUGAUUAUGUUGAACCUUUGAGAGAUGAUCAGAGAAAAAUGGAGCGACAGAGAGAGAGAGAGAGAGGCAGAGGAAGGCAGUGGGCAAAGACAGAAGUGAGUCAGAGGAAAAUCUGAUGGUGGUUAUAGAGUAAUGAAAUAGCUGUUAUUGACCACAGUCAAAACACAGCCUAGUCUUUAAGCCUUGCAUUAGGCAUUCUUUUUCCUCUGCCCAAUCCACACGUGUAACACAGCCAUAAAUCACUGUCCUUCAUAAGCAACAGACAGUAAGUGCCAUGAGCAGUAGUGACAAUAUUUAUCACCAGGUAAGCAGUUCCAUAUAGGGGUUGCUUGGGCCAAGCUCCUAACCAUUUGGAAGAACUGCAACCACUAUGCCUCAUGCCUUCUGUCCUAGGCUUUUUUGGAAUAAGGGGUGUGAAAACAAGGCUGGCCACGGAAUGUAAAGCAACUGGCUUCUAGUUCACCUUUUAUGUGGUCACAAUGGAGACAGGGACUCAAUGAGAUUGUCACUUGAUGUCCCUUCCAGUGUUUCAUAGAUCUGGGGCUCUGGGGCUCAUUGGAAGUACAUUUUAUCUCAUUUAAGCAGUUAGUGAUACAUUUGAUCAACCAUUCUGCUUCUAAGGAGAUUUUACUUGAUCUCAUCUUUGGUGAUGCUAAGACAAAUUAUUUUUUUGUAAUGGGUUGAGCUACAAAUUUGAGGUGGAAAUAAGAUAUUUUUAAUUGGUUUAAUGAUUUACACUAGUUCCCAGUUGCCUUAAUAACAUGAAUUCUAACUUUUGAGACUUCUCUCUUCUUCUGAUUUGUUCAAAACCUACAAGGCUCAAGUGUCCUAAAAAGAAAAGUUAGUCCAAGGUAUAAUAUAGGUCUGAAACUCUUCCAAGGGGUUAUUUGUUACUAACUUCAUCCUUAGAGGGCUGUGAGCAUUUUUCUUUGAAAUCCUAGAAGCAAUCUCUCUGUCUUUCUUUCUCAUCUACCCUAUUUUUCUCCCUUUUUUAAAUCUUUCCUUAAAAAUGCUAUGUUAAAAUUUCCCAACCUUCACCAAACUUGAAGCUAGGCAGAGGCAAGGAAAUACCAUAGGUUGACAAAUUAGAUAAGCUAAACUCUUAUUCUUAGGGAGAAAGUCCUUUAUCUCCGAUGUAUCUUUCUUUGAGUUUCUCUUUGAACUUGGCUUUUCUCAUCACAGAGGUGAUGCACUGGUAUAGGGAAAAGUAGUCAACCACGUGGCCCAGUUUAGUUCACUAUGUAAUCAUUCUGGA